CAGUUCGGACUGUGGUCUGCAACCCGACCACACGAAGCUGGAAUCGCUAGUAAUCGUGAAUCAGAAUGUCACGGUGAAUACGUUCCCGGGUCUUGUACACACCGCCCGUCACACCAUGGGAGUCAGCAACGCCCGAAGUCAGUGACCUAACCGAGAGGGAGGAGCUGCCGAAGGCGGGGCCGGUAACUGGGGUGAAGUCGUAACAAGGUACC
rnacentral:rRNA from 1 species